GACGAACGCUGGCGGCGUGCUUAACACAUGCAAGUCGAACGGAAAGGCCCUGCUUUUGUGGGGUGCUCGAGUGGCGAACGGGUGAGUAACACGUGAGUAACCUGCCCUUGACUUUGGGAUAACUUCAGGAAACUGGGGCUAAUACCGGAUAGGAGCUCCUGCUGCAUGGUGGGGGGUGGAAAGUUUCGGCGGUUGGGGAUGGACUCGCGGCUUAUCAGCUUGUUGGUGGGGUAGUGGCUUACCAAGGCUUUGACGGGUAGCCGGCCUGAGAGGGUGACCGGCCACAUUGGGACUGAGAGAGGGCCCAGACUCCUACGGGAGGCAGCAGUGGGGAACAUUGCGCAAUGGGCGGAAGCCUGAUGCAGCAACGCCGCGUGCGGGAUGACGGCCUUCGGGUUGUAAACCGCUUUCGCCUGUGACGAAGAGUGAGUGACGGUAAUGGGUAAAGAAGCACCGGCUAACUACGUG
rnacentral:rRNA from 1 species